CCUACGGGAGGCAGCAGUGAGGAAUAUUGGUCAAUGGCCGUAAGGCUGAACCAGCCAAGUCGCGUGAAGGAAGAAGGAUCUAUGGUUUGUAAACUUCUUUUAUAGGGGAAUAAAGGUAUCCACGUGUGGAUAUUUGCAUGUACCCUAUGAAUAAGCAUCGGCUAACUCCGUGCCAGCAGCCGCGGUAAUACGGAGGAUGCGAGCGUUAUCCGGAUUUAUUGGGUUUAAAGGGUGCGUAGGUUGUUUUUUAAGUCAGCGGUGAAAGUUUGUGGCUCAACCAUAAAAUUGCCGUUGAGACUGGCAGACUUGAGUGUGUUUGAGGUAGGCGGAAUGCGUGGUGUAGCGGUGAAAUGCAUAGAUAUCACGCAGAACACCGAUUGCGAAGGCAGCUUACUAAGCCAUAACUGACACUGAAGCACGAAAGCGUGGGGAUCAAACAGGAUUAGAUACCCCUGUAGUC
rnacentral:rRNA from 1 species